rnacentral:rRNA from 1 species
UCAAGUAAUUAAGUGCAUGUGGUGGAUGCCUUGGCAGUCAGAGGCGAUGAAAGACGUGAUAGCCUGCGAAAAGCUCCGGGGAGGCGGCAAAUAUCCUUUGAUCCGGAGAUGUCUGAAUGGGGGAACCCACCUACUUUAAGGUAGGUAUUGCAACAUGAAUACAUAGUGUUGCAAGGCGAACGAGGGGAAGUGAAACAUCUCAGUACCCUUAGGAAAAGAAAUCAAUUGAGAUUCCCUCAGUAGCGGCGAGCGAACGGGGAUCAGCCCAUUAAGUUAUGUGUGUUUUAGUGGAACGCUCUGGGAGGUGCGAACGUAGAGGGUGAUAUUCCCGUACACGAAAGGGCACACAUAAUGAUGACGAGUAGGGCGAGGCACGUGAAACCUUGUCUGAAUAUGGGGGGACUAUCCUCCAAGGCUAAAUACUCCUGACUGACCGAUAGUGAACCAGUACCGUGAGGGAAAGGCGAAAAGGACCCCUGUGAGGGGAGUGAAAUAGAUCCUGAAACCGCAUGCAUACAAGCAGUGGGAGCACCUUCGUGGUGUGACUGCGUACCUUUUGUAUAAUGGGUCAGCGACUUAUAUUCAGUAGCGAGGUUAACCGUAUAGGGGAGCCGUAGAGAAAUCGAGUCUUAAUAGGGCGUUUAGUUGCUGGGUAUAGACCCGAAACCAGGCGAUCUAUCCAUGAGCAGGUUGAAGGUUGGGUAACACUAACUGGAGGACCGAACCCACUGUCGUUGAAAAGCCAGGGGAUGACUUGUGGAUAGGGGUGAAAGGCUAAUCAAGCCUGGUGAUAGCUGGUUCUCCCCGAAAGCUAUUUAGGUAGCGCCUCGGACGAAUACCAUAGGGGGUAGAGCACUGUUUCGGCUAGGGGGUCAUCCCGACUUACCAAACCGAUGCAAACUCCGAAUACCUAUGAGUACUAUCCGGGAGACAGACUGCGGGUGCUAACGUCCGUAGUCAAGAGGAAAACAAUCCAGACCGCCAGCUAAGGCCCCAAAAUCAUAGUUAAGUGGGAAACGAUGUGGGAAGGCAUAGACAGCUAGGAGGUUGGCUUAGAAGCAGCCACCCUUUAAAGAAAGCGUAAUAGCUCACUAGUCGAGUCGGCCUGCGCGGAAGAUGUAACGGGGCUAAAACUAUGUGCCGAAGCUGCGGAUGUAUACUUUGUAUACGUGGUAGGGGAGCGUUCUGUAAGCCGAUGAAGGUGUGUUGAGAAGCAUGCUGGAGGUAUCAGAAGUGCGAAUGCUGACGUGAGUAACGACAAAACGGGUGAAAAACCCGUUCGCCGAAAGACCAAGGGUUCCAGUCCAACGUUAAUCGGGGCUGGGUGAGUCGACCCCUAAGGCGAGGCCGAAAGGCGUAGUCGAUGGGAAAAUGGUUAAUAUUCCAUUACUUCUGUGUAAUGCGAUGAGAGGACGGAGAAGGCUAAAUCAGCCUGGCGUUGGUUGUCCAGGUGAAAGGAUGUAGGCAUGUAUCUUAGGCAAAUCCGGGGUACUCUAUGCUGAGAUCUGAUAGCAAGCUGUACUUGUACAGCGAAGUGGUUGAUGCCAUGCUUCCAGGAAAAGUCUCUAAGCUUCAGUUACACAGGAAUCGUACCCGAAACCGACACAGGUGGUCAGGUCGAGUAGACCAAGGCGCUUGAGAGAACUCUGCUGAAGGAACUAGGCAAAAUGGUACCGUAACUUCGGGAGAAGGUACGCUGUUGUUGGUGAUGGAACUCGCUUCCUGAGCUGACGACAGCCGCAGAAACCAGGCCGCUGCAACUGUUUAUUAAAAACAUAGCACUCUGCAAACACGAAAGUGGACGUAUAGGGUGUGAUGCCUGCCCGGUGCUGGAAGGUUAAUUGAUGGGGUUAGCGUAAGCGAAGCUCUUGAUCGAAGCCCCAGUAAACGGCGGCCGUAACUAUAACGGUCCUAAGGUAGCGAAAUUCCUUGUCGGGUAAGUUCCGACCUGCACGAAUGGCAUAAUGAUGGCGGCGCUGUCUCCAGCAGAGGCUCAGUGAAAUCGAAAUCGCUGUGAAGAUGCAGUGUACCCGCGGCUAGACGGAAAGACCCCGUGAACCUUUACUGCAGCUUGACACUGAACUUUGACCUUACUUGUGUAGGAUAGGUGGGAGGCUUUGAAGCUGGAACGCUAGUUCCAGUGGAGCCGUCCUUGAAAUACCACCCUGGUAAUGUUGAGGUUCUAACUCUGUCCCGUGAUCCGGGACGAGGACCGUGUCUGGUGGGUAGUUUGACUGGGGCGGUCUCCUCCUAAAGAGUAACGGAGGAGUACGAAGGUGCGCUCAGCGUGGUCGGAAAUCACGCGUAGAGUAUAAAGGCAAAAGCGCGCUUAACUGCGAGACCCACAAGUCGAGCAGGUACGAAAGUAGGUCUUAGUGAUCCGGUGGUUCUGUAUGGAAGGGCCAUCGCUCAACGGAUAAAAGGUACUCUGGGGAUAACAGGCUGAUACCGCCCAAGAGUUCAUAUCGACGGCGGUGUUUGGCACCUCGAUGUCGGCUCAUCUCAUCCUGGGGCUGAAGCAGGUCCCAAGGGUAUGGCUGUUCGCCAUUUAAAGAGGUACGCGAGCUGGGUUUAGAACGUCGUGAGACAGUUCGGUCCCUAUCUACCGUGGGCGCUGGAAAUUUGAGAGGAUCUGCUCCUAGUACGAGAGGACCAGAGUGGACGAACCUCUGGUGUACCGGUUGUGACGCCAGUCGCAUCGCCGGGUAGCUAUGUUCGGAAGGGAUAACCGCUGAAAGCAUCUAAGCGGGAAGCCUACCUCAAGAUAAGAUUUCCCUAGGACUUUAUGUCCUCUAAAGAGCCGUUCGAGACUAGGACGUUGAUAGGUUGGAUGUGGAAGCAUAGUGAUAUGUGAAGCUGACCAAUACUAAUUGCUCGUGAGGCUUGACUAU